rnacentral:rRNA from 1 species
CCUACGGGAGGCAGCAGUGAGGAAUAUUGGUCAAUGGGCGCGAGCCUGAACCAGCCAAGUAGCGUGAAGGAUGACUGCCCUACGGGUUGUAAACUUCUUUUAUAAAGGAAUAAAGUGAGGCACGUGUGCCUUUUUGUAUGUACUUUAUGAAUAAGGAUCGGCUAACUCCGUGCCAGCAGCCGCGGUAAUACGGAGGAUCCGAGCGUUAUCCGGAUUUAUUGGGUUUAACGGGAGCGUAGAUGGGUUGUUAAGUCAGUUGUGAAAGUUUGCGGCUCAACCGUAAAAUUGCAAUUGAUACUGGCAGGCUAGAGUACAGUUGAGGGAGGCGGAAUUCGUGGUGUAGCGGUGAAAUGCUUAGAGAUCACGAAGAACUCCGAUGGCGAAGGCAGCCUCCUAAACUGCCACUGACAUUGAUGUUCGAAAGUGUGGGGAUCAAACAGGAUUAGAUACCCCAGUAGUC